AUUAACUACCAUCAGUUCUCUAAGCCAACAAUCCACUUAUCUGAUGAAUUUUCCGUGAAAUAGCAGAAUACUGUCUCUAUUUUCUCCAUUGUGGUUUAUAACUAUCUAAAAUUUACCUGGUUAGUCCACAAGUCCUAGCUCAACUGGCAAAAAUAUGGCGAAAUUGUUAGGCCGGACGCCAUGAUCGGGGUUUGAACCCCGACACCACCACUUGUGUGUGUUAGUUAAUAAUGGUUUUGCCAUUUCAUCUACCUACCCAAAAAAAAAGUACUCAGUUAUACACUAGGAUAGAGUUUGAAGCAUAUUACAAAAUAUUUAAAGUACAAAAAAUUUGAAUAUAUAGUUUGAGUUGAUACAUUUACUAACCAACAGUACAUUGCCAGGAAUACAAUCACCACCCCGAGAUUACGGUAUUCCAUUAAGUGGUUCAAAUAAGGUAUUUGAAACAAUUGGGGCGUCUGCUAACCUAGUGUUUGCAUACAAUACCGGCAUGCUUCCUGAGAUACAGGUUAGAUAGAAGCUUAUAAAUUUUCAUAUCUUCUUAUUAAGUUUCAAGUUGAUACUAAUUUGUUUUCAUUUCGGUGAGCGUAAUACAAAACUGAGUUUUAUUUGUUAAUGUACCUUGCAGGCAACAAUAAAGCAGCCAGUUGUCAAGAACAUGAUGAAAUCCCUGUACUUUCAGUUUACAGUCGGAGUUGUACCAUUGUACAUGAUUACCUUUGCAGGAUACUGGGCUUAUGGAGCUUCGACAGACGCCUAUUUACUGAAUAAUGUGAAUGGUCCAGUUUGGGUGAAGGCUUUGGCCAAUAUUACAGCCUUCCUUCAAUCAGUCAUUGCAUUACAUGUACGUAAAUCUAAACUAGAACUUUUGCUACACUUAAAUGUUUUACUUAAAUUGUGUUUAACUUGCCUAAUAACACCUGUUAGAUAUUUGCAAGUCCAAUGUAUGAGUAUUUGGAUACAAAAAAUGCGAUCAAAGGAAGUGCAUUGAAUAUUAAGAACUUGUCAUUUAGAAUCCUGGUAAGAGGUGGCUACCUGGCCUUUAAUACAUUUGUGGCGGCUCUCCUUCCAUUCCUCGGAGAUUUCAUGAGCCUCACGGGAGCAAUCAGCACGUUUCCCCUUACAUUUAUUCUUGCAAAUCAUAUGUAUCUAGUGGCGAAAAAGGACAGACUAUCAAGUUUGCAGAAACUCUGGCACUGGAUCAACAUUGUUUUCUUUAGCAUAGCAUCUGUGGCAGCAACAGUUGCAGCACUACGGCUUAUUUCUGUAGACUCCAAAACAUACCAUAUUUUUGCAGAUAUUUGAUGAAACUCAUUAUAUUAUUUCAGCAAUUGUAAUGCGACAUUUACAUGUUUUGAAUGCUCUCAUUGUUAGAAAAAUAACAAUAAAGAUAGGAUUUCCUCGCAGAAGAUUGUAUUUUGUUGAGUAGUCUACUCUUAGUCAAUAUUAGACAUUUAUAUCAUCAAAUACACAGUUUUGGCACUAAUUAAGCAAUGUACUAUGCGCCAUAUUGUUUAUGAGGGUUAGUUACAUGAUCGGAUUCUGUUGGUCAAGUAAGCAAGCAAGAUGCGCCAAAAAAUAAUGUGAAAAUUAUAGUAAGAAAAACGUGAAAAGAUCAUUAAUUAAUUAUUCAAUAUAAAUACAACACUCACUGACACACGCACGCGCUCACACACACUAUAGAGCUUUUGCAAGAGUACAGGACCCCUGAAGUAAACUGCACAAACAAACCAAUUUCAUGCUUCCAUUUCUAGGGAAAUUAAGUGAGUCAUUAUCAAACUGAGUUAAACUUAAACCAAAAAUCUCUCACUCACAAGUUAAAAUUUAUAGUCAAUCAUGUUAUAAAAUGGUUAUUAUUGGAUUAUAAUUAAUAAUUAAAGUUCAACAAAAAUAUGAAUGCAUCAGCUAAAAACUGAUGAAUAUAUUUCAACUUUAUGCUUAUUUCAAUUUUCAAGCAUACAAUACAAUAAUGUAGAAAUAAAGUAAGAAAAAAGGGGGGAAAUUGAAUUGAUGAAAGUAUUAUUGUAGGGUAAGUUAGGUACCUGAUAACGGAACGGCGUCGUCGGUGGUGUGAACGUAGAGCGGAGGGAGGGAUGACCCACAAAUGAGAUAACGAUGAUGAUGAUGCCGCCGAAUCAGAAGGAAGAAUAUUAUUCAUCACCUAAUCUCUAUCUAUCAUUUUUUGGAUUCAUUGGUCAACUCAUCUCAGAACAACGCACAGUUUUGCGCUUUUCUUUAACUAAACCCAGCCAAAUCACC
rnacentral:lncRNA from 1 species